AACCUAGCACACCUGCGGUGUGUACCUGCGGAGGGAUCAUUGCUGGAACGCGCUUCGGCGCACCCAGAAACCCUCUGUGAACUUAUACCUACCGUUGCCUCGGCGAGGCUGGCUUCUUGUGACAGAAGCCCCCCGGAGACGGGGAGCAGCCCGCCGGCGGCCAACCAAACUCUUGUUUCUAUAGUGAAUCUCUGAGUAAAAAACAUAAAUGAAUCAAAACUUUUAGCAAUGGAUCUCAGA
rnacentral:misc_RNA from 1 species